CUCCGCCGCUAGCUGUCGUUGGAGGUGCUCCUGAGUCAACAAACUAAAUCUCCCCAGCGGGAAAGUCGCUCUCCCGGCAGCGCCCAGACCUGGGGAGCUGCAGUCGCCGCACCUUGCCUUCACCACAGUCCCAUAGGAGAACCCGCGCAGACUGGAGGAGGUUUGGGGAAGGCCUGGGCAAAGAAGCGCGGGGGAUUCAUUACCCGCCGGGGUUCUCCUCUGCAGCGCGUCUCCCUCCACGAGCAGGAAACGGAGCCUCCCAAGUGCAGAGCAGAGAAGUUGAUCCCGCGGGGUCCCGGGCUUAUAUCAGCUGAGCUACCUGACACCUCCCAGGGCGGGGCAUCGUGCAGGAGACAGACAGAGGGACAGCCCAAUCGCAUCAUUACGUGGAGCGGGAAGCCCACUCCUGAAAAGACAACAGCCUUGCGCCCAGAGCCAGGAGGACUCCUGGAGCCCGCCCAGCAAGCCCCUCUCUCUCCCAUCUUCUGCUCAAGAGCUCGAGGUCUCAGUAGACCGAGCUGAGGAAAGGCCGCCUGUGGAGCCUGAGCCAGGCGCAGACUGGGUGGUCACAGUCUGGUCCCGGGCGCUGGAAGUUUUACUCACUUCUCAAGAACCAGCAAGAGAUCAGGCCUGACCCUUUUGCAAGUGACAGAAUCCAAAGCUUUGAGUUCAUGGGAAAGUGGCUGGAAAGAAAGUCACUGCAGGGCCACACAGGUCUCUGGCGAGGCUACCCAAGAACAUUUAAAUCCCUGCCCAGAGAAGAAGAGGCUCCAGUUGUCUUGCACCUUCCUGGGAAUUGGCAGUCCCUCAGAGCAGGGGUUCUGCAGCCACCGGCAGCGCCAGGAGACAAGGAUGGUGGCCAGUUAGCAGAAAAUCAAGGCAGAUGGAACAGUCUGGAAAACACCACCUACGGUCACCUCUGGAGCCUGGGAUUAUGGGAUAACUUUUCGAUUUUUAAAUGUAUUGUCAAAUAGCUAAAGUACACGGAAAGUACAAAAUAAUAGUAAAUUGAACACCCGUGUAUUCACCACACAGCUUAAGCAAUAACAUCAGCAAUAUUUGUGUA